rnacentral:rRNA from 1 species
CAGCGUCACGAGUGGGGACCCUUUUUAUUUGGCCUAAAGCGUCCGUAGCUGGUUUAGUAAAUCUCUUGUGAAAUCGUUGAGCUUAACUCAGCGGCGUGCAGGAGAGACUGCUAAGCUAGGGACUGGGAGGAGUAAGAGGUAUGCUGGGGGGAGCGGUAAAAUGCUAUAAUCCUCAGUGGACCACCUAUGGCGAAGGCAUCUUACUAGAACAGGUCCGACAGUGAGGGACGAAAGCCAGGGGAGCAAACCGGAUUAGAGACCCGAGUAGUCC